CCCUUGGGCUUGCUGUACAGACUGCUGCCCUGUGGGCUGGCUAGGUUGCUCUCUGCCACCAACCACUGCCAAACGCUGUGGACUAACUGAACGCCUGUGUUACCUGCUGGUCAAAGAUAGUUACUGCAUCUGGAGUAGAAAUCAGGGCUUCACUGUGUAGCUUUGACUAUACUGGAAUUCACGUGAUGAUCUUGGACUCACAAAGAUCCAACUGCCUCUGCCUCCUGAGUGCUGGGAUUAAAAGUAUGCGCCCCUACAGCAGGCUAAGUGAUUGUCACAUAACUACUUUCUGUGAUUUAAAAAAAAUAUUUUUGUAAUUAUUUUAUUUUAUGGGUAUGGGUGUUUUGCAUGAAUGUGUAUAUGUGCACCAUAUGUGGGUGCUAGGGACAGAAUCCAGGUCCUCUGCAAGGUCAGUACAUGCUCUUUAACCACUAAGCAUGUUUAGCUCCAUGAUUAUUUUUUUCUUGUAUUCGUUGCUCUCCAAGGAGUGGAUCCCACAGCUCUCUGUAUGCUUGCUGAGAGCCACAUCGCCAGUCUGCUCCUCCUCCCCUUUUUUCAUUUAUGAGACCAAGUAUCAUGUAGCCUAGCGUGGCUUUGAACUUGGGAUCCUUCUGCCUCUACCUCCUAAGUGUCAGGACUAGCAUUACAGUCAGUUUUAUACAAUGCUGGGAUGGAACCCAGGGCUUCACCCCGUUUGCUAGGCAAGUAUUCUACUGACUGAAUUACAUCUCCUAGCUCCCUGUUUUUUGUUUUUGCAGACAGGAUCUCACUCUAUAGCCUUGAGUGGUCCUUGUUUGGUCCAAAACAGCCCCCCCCCCCAAAGUGGCAGUGCUGAUGACAAUGUCUUAAACUGAAGAACUCUGACUGGGCAAUCAGAAGCCUAAAUUCUACAUUCUCCUAAAACUCACUUCUGUUUACCAGAAGUCUCCUUUAAUCUGACCUCAAAGGUCAACUACCUAGGGUCAAGGUCAUCUAGUUCUUCACUAGUCCUAGCAGCCUGUGUCAGCUCACAGUCCCAUCCAACAGACUCAAAUGAAGUCUGCUUCUUUGCCAGCAGGCUGUUUCUCUAUUUGAUACCCCCCCCAAUGGGGGACCGAAUAUUUCUGUUAUGGAAUAUUUUGGGUCCCAGUCUCUAGCUGCUGUAAACAGUUAGAGAGGUGCGAGAGGUGUGUGAGUAACUUUUGAGGAUGGAAGGUCAGGAGUUAGGGGCCAGCAACCAGAGAAGAGAGAGGACAAAGAAAGAUGGUUUCCUCAUGGUGUUGGCAGGAUGGUUAAGAAACACCAGAAAAGAUGGCUAAUAAAGAAAUGACUCUAGUUCUACAACAUGGAACUGAGAGCUCUCUGAAGAUGACAAGAUGCCUGUGUUUGAUCUUUAUCGCUGUUGGGUUACUGGGAGCUUCCAGGUCCACACACCCCCACUCAGGCCGAACCUCAUGGCUGUCGUGGGUUAAAGCUGAGACAAGCCGGGUCACGACAAAAUGGCGCCCGAACUCGGGGCCUGAGAAUGGGGGAAGAAGCCUUGGACACCACGAAACGGACAAGGCAGAGGCUUGGACUAUUCAAAGAGAUAGUCGUUGCAGGCGAACUGGUUGGAGAAGAAGCAUGCGCAGGAAAAAGAAGAAAGAAGUGGCCGAAUGUGGAGGAGAACGAGGCGCGCUGGAUACAGGAAGGAUUGGUGAGAUUUGUGGAACAGAGAAAAACGGGACCUGGGCCCACAGGAGACCAUCUGAAACAGCUGGAGUGAAACACUGAACCUGUAUUUCCUGAACCUUGAGGACAUCUGACCUACAGCUGGAGGAAGAAGGGAGACACACCCAGUUCCAGUUUUGAGAUGCUUUCCAGAGUUCCAGCUUCCCUACAGAUGGACUACAUUCACCCCUCUGAAUCCGUGAGUGCUCAUCCAGGAGCAGACUAAGAACUUGAUAAAAAACAGCUUGCUUUCUUGCCACAAACAGACACACAAAACUGUUUUGCCAGUUUUCCCAUUGGGAGAAAGGACCCAUUUAGUACAGUCGGAUACUGGCAUAAACCAGAGUGACAGAAGUUCCUUCACAAUGCUUAAACAAGACAUGGACAAAAGACUUUUUAGUUAACUUUCAAAGACUGAUAUUACAAACCUAUGUUAGAACUUCGGACUUUGAGCAAGAAAUAGGAAGGCUCAAAGGGCAUUGAGUCCCAGGCAGGGGACUUUUCUUUUCAAUAAAGAAAAGAGGGUUUAGAAUUGUGAAAUUGUUCAUACCCCACAGAUUGUGAGAAUAUCUUAUUGUCUUUUGAUUGCUUUGUAACUCACCCUAAUGUAUGUUCAUGAUGGAAUUGUUAAUGUCUGUGAUCUUGCUAUAUGUGUUAUACAAAUGUUAUUAGAGACUAGAAGUCAGAGUUCAUUCUUACAGGAAUGUAACGUGCAGUUUACAAGACUAAGGAUAGAAGUAUGUUUUAGGGAGCAAACUUUAAUAAGGUCCGUAUCAGAGGCACUAGAGGCAUUACCACAGAGAUUUUAAAAGGCCAUUUUAAACCUUUACAUGUCUUCAUCCUCAGGAGAAGGUUUGCAACCACGAGAGCUGAGAUGCUAUUGUCCUGGAGGUUUCUUGCUGAUUCAGAACGCUUGGAGCUGGACUAUGGCCCAUCCCCCACUAACCUUAUUUGUUUUACAGAGACUGGUUCCAGCCAAAGACGGGUACAGUUUUCCUUGCCUUCAGGGAAUCCUAAGACAGAAUACACAUGAUGGAAUUCGUGAUUCCAUGACGGGCACCCCUGUUAGGUUGAAGGGAGCCUCCUAAAACAGGCACAGUCAUCUGUCCUGAUGCAGAAACACAGGUUUCUUUUUAUUAAUUUAAGAGAGAGGAAUUGGGGGGCACCAAAUACUUCUGUUACGGAAUAUUCUGGGUCCCAGUCUCUAGCUACUGUAAACAGCAGCACCAGAAAGCUCCUGGUCACCAUUGUAUUAUUAAAUGCCAGUAGGGCUACUAUUGUUUACUAUGGCCUCUGGGUAAUAUGCCUCCUAAUUUGCAUCUAUAUGUGCCUAAGCAUCUAAAUAGGCCCUCACUUGGGUGGAGGUGUGAGAGAGGUGUGUGAGUAACUUGUGAGGAUGGAAG
rnacentral:lncRNA from 1 species